UGGGGAAUUUUGGACAAUGGGGGAAACCCUGAUCCAGCCAUCCCGCGUGUGCGAUGAAGGCCUUCGGGUUGUAAAGCACUUUUGGCAGGAAAGAAACGUCAUGGGUUAAUACCCCGUGAAACUGACGGUACCUGCAGAAUAAGCACCGGCUAACUACGUGCCAGCAGCCGCGGUAAUACGUAGGGUGCAAGCGUUAAUCGGAAUUACUGGGCGUAAAGCGUGCGCAGGCGGUUCGGAAAGAAAGAUGUGAAAUCCCAGAGCUCAACUUUGGAACUGCAUUUUUAACUACCGGGCUAGAGUGUGUCAGAGGGAGGUGGAAUUCCGCGUGUAGCAGUGAAAUGCGUAGAUAUGCGGAGGAACACCGAUGGCGAAGGCAGCCUCCUGGGAUAACACUGACGCUCAUGCACGAAAGCGUGGGGAGCAGACAGG
rnacentral:rRNA from 1 species